AAAUUGAAGAGUUUGAUCAUGGCUCAGAUUGAACGCUGGCGGCAGGCCUAACACAUGCAAGUCGAACGGUAACAGAAAGCAGCUUGCUGCUUUGCUGACGAGUGGC
rnacentral:rRNA from 1 species